GUAGCGUAUAUUAAAGUUGUUGCAGUUAAAAAGCUCGUAGUUGAACCUUGGGCCUGGCUGGCCGGUCCGCCUCACCGCGUGUACUGGUCCGGCCGGGCCUUUCCUUCUGGGGAAUCUCAUGCCCUUCACUGGGCGUGCUGGGGAACCAGGACUUUUACUUUGAAAAAAUUAGAGUGUUCAAAGCAGGCCUUUGCUCGAAUACAUUAGCAUGGAAUAAUAAAAUAGGACGUGCGGUCCUAUUUUGUUGGUUUCUAGGACCGAAGUAAUGAUUAAUAGGGAUAGUUGGGGGCAUUAGUAUUUAAUUGUCAGAGGUGAAAUUCUUGGAUUUAUGAAAGACUAACUACUG
rnacentral:rRNA from 1 species